rnacentral:misc_RNA from 1 species
AAGACUAUAGACCUGCGGAGUACCUGCGGAGGGAUCAUUAACAAGUCCAUGUGCCUUGCAUGCAUGCAUUCGUGUGUGCAUGUGGGGGACAUUUGCUCCGUGUGCAUUCCAUGUGCACAUUGAACACAUUUCUGCAAAUUGUCUGAUUACAUUUGUUGAUUAACUACUAAACAACUUUUAACAAUGGAUCUCU